rnacentral:rRNA from 1 species
AGUGAACGCUGGCGGUAGGCCUAACACAUGCAAGUCGAAGGGCAGCACAGGAGAGCUUGCUCUCUGGGUGGCGAGUGGCGGACGGGUGAGGAAUACAUCGGAAUCUACUCUGUCGUGGGGGAUAACGUAGGGAAACUUACGCUAAUACCGCAUACGACCUACGGGUGAAAGCAGGGGAGCUUCGGACCUUGCGCGAUUGAAUGAGCCGAUGUCGGAUUAGCUAGUUGGCGGGGUAAAGGCCCACCAAGGCGACGAUCCGUAGCUGGUCUGAGAGGAUGAUCAGCCACACUGGAACUGAGACACGGUCCAGACUCCUACGGGAGGCAGCAGUGGGGAAUAUUGGACAAUGGGCGCAAGCCUGAUCCAGCCAUACCGCGUGGGUGAAGAAGGCCUUCGGGUUGUAAAGCCCUUUUGUUGGGAAAGAAAUCCAGCUGGCUAAUACCCGGUUGGGAUGACGGUACCCAAAGAAUAAGCACCGGCCAACUUCGUGCCAGCCGCCGCCGUAA